UACUCCCACUUUCGCGCCAACUACUCCUACCUAAAAUACAAAUUGAUUAUUACAUAAGCAAUAUUCUUUACUUAAUUAUACAUGUGCAGAGCUGAAGAUACACGUUUAUAUACCCCAUUUCCGCCAACCGUCAUCGUCUUCUGUACCACCACGAUGACGCCGCCAAUUACUUUCCAUAAGAGAACUACCACUAGCCCCACGACUUAAUUCUUUUCUAGGACUAGUAGAACCAUUCCAUUCACCUGGAUCUGAGGCUCCAUUUCUUUCUGACCAACCACGUUCACUUUGCGACCUAUCAAAUGGGCGAUUUCUUCCCUAGAUAUCAAAAUACAUUCACUGAUCAAUUAAAGAAUAAUUCUUCUUUUAUUGAAAAUAAAAAAUUUUCAACCUUCUGGAUAUCAUAUUACUUAAUGACAGAAACAUAUUUUGCCUGCAAGAAUGAAACAAACUACAUACUUGAAAUGGUUGACUGUCAAUUCGAGAUCCAUCUCCUGAAUCAUCGAAACCAACGCCACGGGAAUAAUGAGAAGAAUACAAGCUACCUCUUCCACUUCUUCCUCGUCCUCCACGAUCUACACUUCCACCUCUUCCUCGACCGCCAUUAGUUAUUCCUCCGUUCCACAUCCGCUAAAAAAUUGUAUGAUAAUCAAAUGAAUAUAUUUUUAAUUUACCAAAUAAUUUAAUAUUUAAUAUUAAUAUCUAAGAAAUGUAUAUACUAUAUAUAUGUCAAUAAAUGAGAGAUAACAUUUUAAUUUGUAAUGGAUACAAAAUUGAAAGAAGAUAUAAUAUAGAAUGAUAAUAAA
rnacentral:misc_RNA from 1 species